rnacentral:rRNA from 1 species
CGGAGAAGGCUAUGUUGGCCGGGCGACGGUUGUCCCGGUUUAAGCGUGUAGGUGUGUGUUCCAGGUAAAUCCGGUUCACUUUAACACUGAGGCGUGACGACGAGGCACUACGGUGCUGAAGCAACAAAUGCCCUGCUUCCAGGAAAAGCCUCUAAGCAUCAGGUAACAUCAAAUCGUACCCCAAACCGACACAGGUGGUCAGGUAGAGAAUACCAAGGCGCUUGAGAGAACUCGGGUGAAGGAACUAGGCAAAAUGGUGCCGUAACUUCGGGAGAAGGCACGCUGACACGUAGGUGAAGUGAUUUACUCAUGGAGCUGAAGUCAGUCGAAGAUACCAGCUGGCUGCAACUGUUUAUUAAAAACACAGCACUGUGCAAACACGAAAGUGGACGUAUACGGUGUGACGCCUGCCCGGUGCCGGAAGGUUAAUUGAUGGGGU